UGGGUUGUGGCUCAUCAGUAGAGUGCUCGCCUCACAUGUGCGAGACCCUGGGUUCAAUCCUCAGCACCACAU
rfam:Ictidomys tridecemlineatus contig007541, whole genome shotgun sequence.